UACGUAGGGUGCAAGCGUUAAUCGGAAUUACUGGGCGUAAAGCGUGCGCAGGCGGCUUUGCAAGACAGAUGUGAAAUCUCCGGGCUUAACUCGGAACGGUCAAGUGAUACUGUCGGACUAGAGUACAGAAGGGGCAACUGGAAUUCUCGGUGUAGCGGUGAAAUGCGUAGAUAUCGAGAGGAACACCUGCGGCGAAGGCGGGUUGCUGGGCUGAUACUGACGCUGAGGCGCGAAAGCUAGGGGAGCGAACGGG
rnacentral:rRNA from 1 species